rnacentral:rRNA from 1 species
CCUACGGGAGGCAGCAGUGGGGAAUUUUGGACAAUGGGGGCAACCCUGAUCCAGCCAUUCCGCGUGAGUGAAGAAGGCCUUCGGGUUGUAAAGCUCUUUCGGCAGGAACGAAACGGUGAGCUCUAACAUAGCUUGCUAAUGACGGUACCUGAAGAAGAAGCACCGGCUAACUACGUGCCAGCAGCCGCGGUAAUACGUAGGGUGCGAGCGUUAAUCGGAAUUACUGGGCGUAAAGCGUGCGCAGGCGGUUGUGUAAGACAGGUGUGAAAUCCCCGGGCUUAACCUGGGAACUGCGCUUGUGACUGCACAGCUAGAGUAUGGCAGAGGGGGGUGGAAUUCCACGUGUAGCAGUGAAAUGCGUAGAGAUGUGGAGGAACACCGAUGGCGAAGGCAGCCCCCUGGGCCAAUACUGACGCUCAUGCACGAAAGCGUGGGGAGCAAACAGGAUUAGAUACCCUGGUAGUCCACGCCCUAAACGAUGUCGACUAGGUGUUCGGUGAGGAGACUCAUUGAGUACCGCAGCUAACGCGUGAAGUCGACCGCCUGGGGAGUACGGUCGCAAGAUUAAAACUCAAAGGAAUUGACGG